CAGGAAAGGCAGAAGCCCUAAGCUGUGCCCAAUUGGGCAGAGGAGUCCUCCUCCUGUCAUCACUGGUCAUCCAAGGAAAGAAUAAAAGAAGGAAUUUGGUGUGUGCUUGUAAACUCACUGGAAACAGAAACCUGAGCCAGCUGAAGUCUUACUGUAAAAGAUUUCCUCACCACCACAUUGCUACUGUUUAAUUGUUUAUUACUUUGAAAAUGUAGUCCCAAUAGUAAUGUUAAAAUCUGGUUGUAGGCCAACCAAGACAUACAAGGUAGAGCUGGAAAAGAUCCACUUAGUUUACAGCAUCACAUUUUGCAGUGUUAAAGCAGCAAGUAUUUACUUAAGAUACAAAGACAUCAUAAUACCUUGUUUAAAUUAAAUGCUGAACAUGUAAACAGAUGGAGAUAAUUCGGAGUUUUUAUGUUUAGACUU